CUACGGGUUGCUCCAGUAGGGAAUAUUGGACAAUGGGCGAAAGCCUGAUCCAGCAACGCCGCGUGCACGAUGACGGCCUUCGGGUUGUAAAGUGCUUUUAGAGGAGAUGAGAAAGGACAGUAUCCUCUGAAUAAGCCUCGGCGAACUACGUGCCAGCAGCCGCGGUAAAACGUAGGAGGCAAGCGUUAUCCGGAUUUAUUGGGCGUAAAGCGCGUGCAGGCGGUUUGACAAGUUGGAUGUGAAAGCUCCCGGCUUAACUGGGAGAGGUCGUUCAAAACUGUCAGACUAGAGAAUGGGAGAGGGAGGUGGAAUUCCGGGUGUAGUGGUGAAAUGCGUAGAUAUCCGGAGGAACACCAGUGGCGAAAGCGGCCUCCUAGACCAUUUCUGACGCUAAGACGCGAAAGCUAGGGUAGCAAACGGGAUUAGAUACCCGAGUAGUC
rnacentral:rRNA from 1 species